rnacentral:rRNA from 1 species
GUGGUCUGCAGUCGACGAUUCCUACGGGAGGCAGCAGUGAGGAAUAUUGGUCAAUGGAGGCAACUCUGAACCAGCCAUGCCGCGUGAAGGAUGACGGCCCUAUGGGUUGUAAACUUCUUUUAUAGAGGAAGAAACUUGUCUACGUGUAGACAACUGACGGUACUCUACGAAUAAGGAUCGGCUAACUCCGUGCCAGCAGCCGCGGUAAUACGGAGGAUCCAAGCGUUAUCCGGAUUCAUUGGGUUUAAAGGGUCCGUAGGCGGGUCUUUAAGUCAGUGGUGAAAGCCGACAGCUCAACUGUCGAACUGCCAUUGAUACUGGAGACCUUGAGUACAAAUGAAGUAGGCGGAAUGAGUCAUGUAGCGGUGAAAUGCAUAGAUAUGACUCAGAACACCGAUUGCGAAGGCAGCUUACUAACAUGUAACUGACGCUGAGGGACGAAAGCGUGGGGAGCGAACAGGAUUAGAUACCCUGGUAGUCCACGCCGUAAACGACCAUCACUCGCUGUUGGCGAUAUACUGUCAGCGGCCAAGCGAAAGUAUUAAGUGAUGCACCUGGGGAGUACGCCGGCAACGGUGAAACUCAAAUGAAUUGACGG